UACCUUCAAGGUACUCAAAGCGCUUUGACACUACUUCCACAUUUACCCAUUCACACACACAUUCACACACUGAUGGAGGGAGCUGCCAUGCAAGGCGCUAACCAGCACCCAUCAGGAGCAAGGGUGAAGUGUCUUGCUCAGGACACAACGGACAUGACGAGGCUGGUGAAGCGGCUGUACAGACGAGUGAUCUGACUGUGGGAGACUGCAAUGAAAUAAUAAGAAGACAUGACAAGCUUUAUGAUGCCAGUACAAAACCAACAGAAUAAUACUGGAAGCCAUAAAAUGUGUUCCUAAUCAAUUUCCUUGUAAAGAUGCAACUUCAGGAAAUGGCAACAUCCCCGAAAGCAAACUAGCAUGGUGGCUAGCUAGCCCACUGAUGUUUAUGUUUAUCAAUGAUAGAAAUAAACACACAACUCACAGCCGGU